GGACCUCUGGGAAUCUAGGGUUCUCCUACUUUCCUUAUUAAAACGGAAAUCGACAGUGCAAAUUUCGGUUCCCACACAGAGGAGGACGACACAACAGUUGUGUUCUUGGAACAUGGAACUGGAAAUACUUGAGGAAAAUAAGUUCAAAACUCCAAGGAAGUUUCUCUCCAAAUAUAUCCUUUAAUUAAUUUUUGUUUUUAAAAUUUUUU
rnacentral:lncRNA from 1 species